rnacentral:rRNA from 1 species
UAAAGAUUUUAAGGGCGUACGGUGGAUGCCUUGGCGAUAUCAGCCGAAGAAGGACGCGGUAAGCUGCGAUAAGCUACGGAGAGAUGCAAGCAAUCUUUGACCCGUAGAUUUCCGAAUGGGGGAACCCGGCAGUGGUUAUGCACUGUCACCCAUACCUUUGAGUAUGAGGAGGGCACCUGGGGAACUGAAACAUCUAAUUACCCAGAGGAAAAGUAAUCAAACGAGAUUUUCUUAGUAGCGGCGAGCGAACGGGAAAGAGGCCAAACCGGAGCGGGCAACCGCACCGGGGUUGAGGACAGUCAUCAAGUGUAAAUGAGGUAGAAGAAUCGAGUUGGAAAGCUCAGCCGAAGAAGGUGAAAGCCCUGUAAUCGAAACCUUGCAUACAUGGGACUGUAUCCAGAGUACCACGAGACACGUGAAACCUUGUGGGAAGCAGGGGGGACCACCCUCCAAGCCAAAAUACUGAUAUCGACCGAUAGCGCAUAGUACCGUGAGGGAAAGGUGAAAAGAACCCCUGGCGGGGAGUGAAAGAGAACCUGAAACCGUAUGUCUACAAACAGUCGAAGUCUGUAUAUAUAUCAGGACGACGGCGUGCCUAUUGAAGAAUGAACCGACGAGUUACUGUUGCUAGCGAGGUUAAGUGGAAAACACGGAGCCGCAGCGAAAGCGAGUCUGAACAGGGCGUUCAGUUAGUAAUAGUAGACCCGAAACCGUAGUGAUCUAUCCAUGGCCAGGUUGAAGCACAGGUAAAAUUGUGUGGAGGACCGAACUCGUGAGCGUUGAAAAGCUUUGGGAUGAGUUGUGGAUAGGGGUGAAAUGCCAAUCGAACACGGAGAUAGCUGGUUCUCCCCGAAAUAGCUUUAGGGCUAGCCUCGAGGUUGAGAGUAUAGGCGGUAGAGCACUGAUCGGGCUAGGGGCCAUACCGGUUACCGAACCUAGUCAAACUACGAAUGGCUAUACUUAUACUCGGGAGUCAGACAGUGAAUGAUAAGGUCCAUUGUCAAGAGGGAAACAGCCCAGAACACCGACUAAGGUCCCAAAUGUUACACUAAGUGGCGAAGGAUGUGGAAUUUCCAAAACAACCAGGAUGUUGGCUUAGAAGCAGCCACCAUUUAAAGAGUGCGUAAUAGCUCACUGGUCGAGAGACUCUGCGCCGAAAAUGUCCGGGGCUAAAGUGUAAAACCGAAGUCGUGUCAUAUGCAGCAAUGUAUAUGGGUAGGGGAGCGUUCUCAUUGGGUUGAAGCAGUACCGUAAGGAGUUGUGGACUGAUGAGAAGUGAGAAUGUCGGUAUGAGUAGCGAAAAGAAUGGUGAGAAUCCAUUCCACCGAAAGCCUAAGGGUUCCUGAGCAACGAUCGUCGUCUCAGGGUAAGUCGGGACCUAAGCCGAGGCGGAAAAGCGUAGGCGAUGGACAACAGGUUGAAAUUCCUGUACCGGUGUGAAUCGUUUGAUCGAUGGAGUGACACAGUAAGGUAGGUCAGCACGCGAUUGGAAGUGCGUGUUUAAGCAUGUAGGUUGAGUUAUAGGCAAAUCCGUAGCUCUAAAAGCUGAGAUGUGAUGACGAGUUACUAGCGAUAGUAACGAAGUGAUUGAUCCUACACUGUCGAGAAAAGCUUCUAGGUAGAGACACAUCGCCCGUACCAAAACCGACACAGGUAGGCGGGGAGAGAAUCCUAAGGUGCGCGGGAAAACCCUCGUUAAGGAACUCGGCAAAAUGCCUCCGUAACUUCGGGAAAAGGAGGACUCAUGUAGUGUGAAGUGCAGCAACGCAUGGAGCAUGAAUGAGUGGCACAAGAGAGGCGCAAGCGACUGUUUACCACAAACACAGGUGCCUGCUAAAGCGAAAGCUGAUGUAUAGGUGCUGACACCUGCCCGGUGCUGGAAGGUUAAGAGGAGGGGUUAGACUUCGGUCGAAGCUCUGAAUUGAAGCCCCAGUAAACGGCGGCCGUAACUAUAACGGUCCUAAGGUAGCGAAAUUCCUUGUCGGGUAAGUUCCGACCCGCACGAAAGG